GCUAAGAAUAUUCCGCAAUGGACGAAAGUCUGACGGAGCGACGCCGCGUGGAUGACGAAGGCCGAAAGGUUGUAAAGUCCUUUUGUUGGGGAAGAAUAAGCGCGGGAGGGAAUGCCCGCGUGAUGACAUGAACCGACGAAUAAGCCCCGGCUAACUACGUGCCAGCAGCCGCGGUAACACGUAGGGGGCGAGCGUUGUUCGGAAUUACUGGGCGUAAAGGGCAUGUAGGCGGCCUUGUAAGCCUGGCGUGAAAGUCACCGGCUCAACCGGUGGAUUGCGUCGGGAACUGCAGGGCUUGAGUCACGGAGAGGGAGCUAGAAUUCCUGGUGUAGGGGUGAAAUCUGUAGAGAUCAGGAAGAAUACCAAUGGCGAAGGCAAGCUCCUGGCCGAUGACUGACGCUGAGGUGCGAAAGUGUGGGGAUCAAACAGGAUUAGAAACCCUAGUAGUCC
rnacentral:rRNA from 1 species